GAUGCCACCACAGCAUGGCUUGAUGAGUGGUGUAAAGGUCCGUACCCAGCAUCCAAACCUCCGAACCCUGGGCUGCUGAAGCGGAGCACACCAACUUAACCACUACGCAAUGAGGCCAGCCCCUAGUUUUUAGUUUUUUUUUUUUUUAUUAAGGUUAUGAAAGUUAACAUCCUUGUGAAAUUACAGUUGUGCAUCAUUAUUGGUCAUGUUGUGGGUACACCACUUCACCCCUAGUGCCCUCCCCCCACCCCUCUGUGUUUAUUUUUUUUAAAUCACUAUUACACAAGUUGCAUUUUACUAACCAUGUUUGUAAUUCGUUGGCAGAUUUCUGACUUAGGGACAGGUUUUUCAACAUUGCACAUUAGAGUCACCUGGAGAACCCUUGAAAAAAUACCGAUGACUGGCUCCUGCCCACAGAGAUUCUGGUUUCGUUAUUCUGAGGCGGGGCCUAGGUCUGCUUGUUGUUGUACUGUGCAAACAGACCUGAGAAGCACUGGCCCAUAGUAACAUUUAGAAAAGACUCAGUGGUCCCUUUGCCUCCCCUCUCCCUGGGCUUCCAACCUGAACUCAGCUUUCUAGAUCUUUCCAUUCCAAUGGCUGGGAAAGGCAGAUCCAAGGAAAGGAAUGGAAUGGCUUUGCGGCUGGAGACCUAAAGAGGAGAUAUUAAAGCUGUAGGCCACACAGCAUCCAGGGCAAGACUCCUCCCAAGCUCGAGGCGUUCCCAGGCCUGUUUUACCACCGGCCCAUGCGAGAAGAGUACUCUUCACUGGAGAGCCAAUCCGGGGGGUGGAAGACUGAAAGGGGUCUGGCUGUGACCUGCCAGAGGCCCCACUCCUGGCUCCUUGACCCAGUGAACAAAGCUCCUUCCUGUUGGUUGGUAAGGUAUACUUCUAACCCUAACGUUCAAGAAAUUACCUACACAAAGUUGAAGGUGAGUCUUAGAAUUUUAUGCGUAGGUGAGCUUUGAAGAGCCCCUGCCCUUAUUUGAGAGUAAAUAAGCUAAGGUGGCCAAGCCACUGUGAAACCUGUGAUCACAAGGGUAAGUAGACAGUUGCUGGCAGAGCUGGGAGUGGCUCCUGUAUAUAGGUCAUCAGGUUGCAGUGUUGUACCUUACUCACUAGAUCAUGCUGUUCAAAGUUCUGCCUAUAACAGCUUCCCAACUUGUUCUAUGGCACAACCAGAGACACUCACAACUAGAAUAUACAACUGUGUACUGGGGGGCUUUGGGAAGAAGAAAAAAAAAAACUUGUUAUAUAAACCUACAAUUUUUUAAAAAAUUCUUAGUUUUAAUAACCUCUGUAUUCCAACUCUUAAAAAUUAUUCUAGAGAACCAGAUUCAAACCUGCAGAACAAGAAUGUAACUUGUUAUAAAGUUAGUUGAAGGAAAAACAUUUUACAUACGUUAUUUGAUAGAGAUUAGUACAUACCACAAGACUAUAUUCACGUGAAUGAAAAUCAUUUAGAUAUCUCCUUCUGCAGUUUAUUAGGAUAUGGAGUUGGAGUUAUUUAUUCCUUUCAAGUUAUAGUUUAUGACAACAUCAACUUUAUUUUGUUGGAAAGCGUACAAACAUAGCAACUGGGGAGCGGUUUCCCUGCGAAGCUUCAAGGAUGUGCAUUUAAUUGAGUCAUUUGUCUUAAAAAUUUUAAUAUCUGCGAGAUAGUUUGAAGUCACUAUCUCUGCAUUUUAUAAAAAUACAUAUCUUUAACCAUUUCUUAAGCAGCUGGUUGCUAAGACCCAAAAUGUGCUAAACCCUUUGUAUGGCCCCUCUGCAGUUCCGGGAGAGAUCGGCAGAGACUGUGGGUGUCUAUGGAGUGGUUCCAUGUGGUUAUGCUGUUUAGACUUCGUCAUCAAGAUACCCAUACCGGCAGGGGCCGGCCCUGUGGCGCAGCGGUUAAGUGCACACGUUCUGCUUCUCAGCAGCCUGGAGUUCGCCGGUUCGGAUCCCGGGUGCGGACAUGACACCGCUUGGCAAAAGCCAUGCUGUGGCAGGCAUCCCACAUAUAAAGUAGAGGAAGAUGGGCAUGGAUGUUAGCUCAGGGCCAGUCUUCCUCAGCAAAAAGAGGAGGAUUGGCGGCAGAUGUUCUCUUAGGGCUAAUCUUCCUCAAAAAAGAAAAAAAAAAAAGUGGGAACCUGGGAGUAAUUUCCACAGAGAUGAUAGCUGAAGACAGUGAAUGUGGUAACCAAAGACAGAGUGUCAACGGAUUUGUAUUUGAGAUACAAUGGGAGAAAAACAUCGAGGAGAAGAAGCUGCCAAACCUGGAGUCAGGCUGAACCUUUCCAUAGCUGUGAGACUUUGGGCAGCUAACUUAAUCUUCUGAGCCUAAGGUUGUUCCCAUGUGGAAUGGGAAGUAAUGUAUAUGAAGCCUAGCGAUGGUUAGUUCCUCUCCCUUUUCAAAGAAGAAAGAAUUAGUAAAACGAGUACCCCAGGGACCUUGGAAAGAGAUUUCAAGAAGGAAAUGGUCAAGAAUGGGGUCAUGGGCAAUAGGAAUCAGAAGAGUCUGGGAAUUCUGGAGCCGACAUACUCCCUGCAGUGCCACCAGCGUUGUUGGCUCUCAGUCCCCUGUGAAUUGUCUCCGAUAAUGAUAGGUGAAGCAGCAGCUGUGAAGACUGCAGCUUCUCUGUGAAUAUCCGUCUUGUUUUACAUUAUAAUGUGUUUUCUUCAGUGAAGGAGAAAGGGUGGGACUUCAGAUAGAGCCAGAAAUUGCUGCUGACCCUGAGAGUGCCCGUUUAGCUCUUAUGCCAGAAAAACGUUUUAAGAAUGGCCACUCCUAGGAAGCCAGUUCAGGAGAGUGGAAGGAGCAGAAAUCAGAUUAUUUGGGUUUAACGAGCAUGUGAAGAAAAAUUGAAAGCUAUGGGUACAGACAUUUUGAAACUGCAACAUUGAUGCAUUUUCCACUCAAGGUCCCAGUAAUCCUAGACCAAAAAGAAUUCUGACUUGAAUUUCUCUAAAUGAUGUAGGGUACUCGCUCAUUACCCAACCUUCCAGUCUUCUGACUUUAUUCCAGACCAACCUCCUUACCCUACGAGCGGCAUCCAGUAAGGGUUGUGGGCUCCGCAGGCCUGCCUACCAUCUGCGCCUUUUCAUUUUGUUCUCUCUUUGCUUAUUUUAUUCCCUGCUCGCUCUCUCUAUAUUGACCUGGAGUGUAACCUGACUUUGGCUUCUCUGUCUGACCCCAUGUUCCUCAUCAUUACUCAAAGUCCAGUAAAAGACAGUCCUUUCUUUUCUCAUUUCAUUCGACCUUCUCUCCCACCCACCCCACCCCAUGCCUCCUUCUCUCCAGACCGCUCUCUUCUCCAAAUGGAACCAGAGCUUCCUGGCUCCAGGGCUGUUUGUUUGGUUUGAAAGUUCCUGGCCCUCCCUCUGGCUUCAUUUUCUUUGCCUAUUGGGAUUCUCUGCCCUUCAGCCCUCAACUCACAUUCAGUCCAGGACCUCUCCAGAGCUCUGUGUACUUAGAUUAUCUGCAGCAUUUUGUCAGGCCAUGUCUGCCAGUCAUUUCCAGCUGUCUAAGCGCCUGGACUUGGCAUGCCUCAGCAGUCAUUUCUCUGCCCUUUUCUCUUUUCACCCCUCCUUGCCCUCCAGCGCUUUCACAUAAUAGUCACUCAGUAAAUGUCUUUUAUUGAUAGUCGAGAAGAAACUCAUUAAUUCUGGUUCAGAUGUCAUGUAACACUUUUCACCUGCUCAUUGUGUUGGCAAUGCAUUUGAUAUUUCAUUUCCCCCCUCUGCUUAACAAACGGGUUUCUCUGUGUGUGAGUAAAAUACUAAAUUUUUGUUUCACUCUUCUGGAGUCUUCUAGUUUUUUGUUUGUUUGUUUUUUACUUUGAGAAGCCAAUGGUUAUUGGAAGGAAUCAAGGUGACCGUGGUAAAGCCUCUCACCAGUGCUUUAUAAGCCUGUUGGUUCUUGUUGUGUUUUAUUUUUUUAAGGUAGCAUAUUGCUUUUCAAAUCAUAAAAAUAGUACAUAUUUACUCUAGAUGACAGAAACAGAAAUGAAUAACAGCACUCGUAGGUAUAUACCCAGGAGAAUUGGGAACAGGGAACAUACGGUCACACAAAACUUUGUACAUGAGUGUUCCUAGCAGCAUUACUCAUAAUAGUCAAAAGGUUGAAACAGCCCAAAUGUCCAUCAACUGAUGGAUGAAUAAACAAAAUUGGGUAUGGCCAUACAAUGGAAUAUUAUUCAGCCCUAAAAAAGUGUUGAAUACAUGCCACAACACAACCUUGAAAACACUAUGCUAAGUGAAAGAAACCAGAUACAAAAGACCACAUAGCGUAUAUUUCCAUCUGUAUGAAAUGUCUAGAAUAGGCAAAUCCAUGGAGAUAGAAAGUAGAUUCGUGGUUGCCAGGGGCUGGGGGAUGGGAGGAAUGAGGAGUGACUCCCAGCAGAUGCAGGGUUUCUUUUUUGGGGUGGUGAAAAUGUUUUGCAAUUAGGCAGUGGUGAUGGUUGCACAACCUCACGAAUUUACUAAAAAUCACUGAGUUGUACACUUUAGGUGAAUUUUAUGGUUGUGAAUUAUAUUUCAAUUUUUAAAAUAAAGGAAAAAUAAAAAUCACUGGUAGUGUAUUAUUUCCUUUCAGUGUUCUGACACGUGUUACUGAAACGCUUUCCAAAGAGGGCGUGUGUAACUGUUCACUGUUUGGCAUCCUUGCUAGAAUUCAGAAUUGCUAUUUUCUAAAUCUUUCUAAAUUUGACAGAUGAAAAUAUUGUACCUCAUCGUUUAAAUAUAUGGAUUUUUGUAAUGACUGGUGAGAUUAUUUUCAUGUGUAUGAUUUUUAGCCAUUGGAAUUUCUUCCAUUUCUUAAUCUUAUUUAAAUGAUGGUCUUAAUGGCUUUCUUAUAGCUUAUUCCACAUCUCUUUUCUUUUUAAACAUAGAAAAACAGUUCAUGUUCCCAAACAGAAUGCUGCUAAAGUGUCUGCAUUUAGGAUAAUGUUUCCCCAAGGCGUGAAAAUAAUUGAUUAGCGUUUGUGCAACUAAAUAGCGCACACAAGUGUGCAGAUCAAAGAUCAGUUUUCCCAAAUGUCAUUUCCCCCCUUUUAGCACAAAACCAUUUUCAGCUUUGAAGUAAUAGUAUUUUCCGCGUCUGUGUGUAUUUACAUUCCAGAAAUAAAGCUCACUUGGCAUUUGGGUACUGUUUUUUUCAAAACAGUUCUGAACUUCAUUUGCUAGUAUUUUAUAAAAUAUUUUCUAGGCUUUAGAGUGAGGUUAUGUUAACAGUGCAAAGUCAAUUGGGCUUUUUUUUUUUUUUUUUUUUAAUCUAUGCUCUAGAAGAAAUUUAUUUAGCAGGGAAUUAUCUGUUCCUUGAAAGUUUGAAAGAAUUUAUCCACAACACCUUAGGGGCCUGGCACUUCAAUAACAUUUUCAAGUUUCUUUCAUCAAUAAUAAUCAGUUGAUAUUUCCUACUCUUUUGAAGUCAGUUUUAGUCAUUUACACCAUAGAGAUGCACAUAGCAUCUUCAUAAUUCUUUGCAAACUCUUUCUGGCCACGUAUGCUGUUGGGCAGAUUUGCUGCCCCUGUGCCGAUUGAACUUGCGCCUCUGUGAUCUGAGAGCAGAGCUGCAGGCAAGGCCAUCCCCUCCCGUGGCCCCCAGGAUCCUCUUACUAUAAAGAAAACCUCACCCUGUUCCUCCUCCUCUUAAAGCACUUUAAUGGCUCGAUGUUACCUUCAGGAUAAAGCCCAAGCUUUUCUCAUGGCAGAGAGGCCAUUUUAGGUUAGGUCCCUGGCGACCCCUCCAGCCUCAACCCUCACCACUUGCCCUAACCACUCACGCAAAGUCUCCUGUAGUGAACUUCCUGCCAUUUCCCAGAUGUCUGCCCUUCCCUGCUCUGGGCCUUUGUGCAUGCUGCUUCCUCAACUGAGUGCCCCGUCCGUCUAACUAACCCCCACCCCACCCUUGGGACUCCACUCAGACGCCAACUCCUCCGUGACUUAUCUUCCCACGGGUUGUGUACCCCUGGGCCUGUGCCUCCACAGCCACACCCCUCACUCCUGCCCUAGCAUUCAACACUAAUUAUUUUAAUUGCCCCUUUCGUUGUUUGUGUUCAUCAUUAGAUUGGGAAUGUUGAGGGCAGGGAGGGUCAGUAACACUCAAUCUUGUAUCCCAAGCAGCUACCUUAGGACCUGAUGUGAAGUCCAUUGUAUUGAAUGAAUCAAUGAACAAAUAAAGAUAAGCAUGCCUUUAUCACUAAUCUUAUGCCUACAGCUAAUCAUGCAAGCGUCAAGAGUGUAGACUGAAGCCAGACUGCUUGAGUUCACUUUCCAGCAUCACCAUUUGCUUUCUGUACCUCUCUGUGCCUCAGUGGACACCCAUGUUAGCUACUUCUCAAGGUCAAGGACAUGAUGCUGGCAUUCGAUGACAUCAAACUAAUAGGACUUGGAGGCAGGACAUAGCAGGUGCUGUAGACACCUUGGAUAAGAUACAUAUGUGCCCAAAGUGAGAGAUGUAGCCCAUGGAAGUAUAAAGGGCUGCCACCUCAUUAAAGUAUAAAUCUCUUAUAAAGUCCAAGGAUUUGGAUGUCAUCUUCAAAGGAAGAGGUCUCACGGACUCCUCUGGUUCUGAUCAAGAAACUCACUUUACAAUUUAAGAAGAAAAUGGGCUGAUGUUUAUGGUGUUUAUGGUUCAGGUGUUUCUCCAUGUAUCCUGGCAGAAGCAGGCAGCCUUAAGCAGUCCAUAGGUUACAGGAUAUAAAGACGGAAGCCAGCUGGAACUAGAGAAAGAACAUCACCGAGAGAGAUCCUGGAUGGGAAGCUGGAUGCGCUGAUGAGACCUUGCGGUGUCUCCUUUUUGGACUGAGGCCAAUUUCCAAAGCCGCUGAGAUAUAAUCAUAGGAGCUACACAGACCAAGAUCAAAAUACUAGCUUUGUGACUGAUAAAGGAGACCAUGGCUUCACCUCCCCAGACUUCCUACCACCUACCCCCAAAAUUGUAGUCCUCCACAUGUUCUGGAGUGUCCCGUAAGAAGCGAUUUAAUGAAAAAGAAACCGUCUUGGAAUUUUCCGCAGCCCAUGAUUUGAGAUAACUGGCGUUGUAACCAACAGCCUGUCUGGAUCAAGAAUGGACGCCUGCAGGCGACAGCUCCCUCCACAAACCUUCUUCUGAUUUCUCCAGUAGAACGACAUAGAUAGCACCUCGCUACGUCCCGUACAGAUUGCACUAAAGAACUCAAGCUGUUCACCAACUGCUCUGCCUUUCAGACGAACAACAGAGGAUGCGAGGAUUGCGACCAUGUAAUAGGAGAUGUUGGACAAAAAGUGAUUAAAAAGCAAGAUCUCAAGUUACUCCUGCCACUGAGGCAUUUAGUACUGUUGCACAGGAAAUGCCAGAGCGUUGUGCAAAUGGAGGAGCCAUUUUCAGUUCUCACCUCAAGCUGGAAGGGACUUCUCUGGCCAGAGGGCCUUUAAAACCCCUUUUUGUCACCGCAGUCUGUAAUGAAUACAGCCACUAGAAGAGAAGCCACUAGAACCACAGAGCCCAUCUCUAACCUCGGGUUAGAGAUUCGGAGUGCCAGCCCCCUCAGCUGUUCCCAGACUCAGCAUGCAAACACUGUCCCUUCAGCGUGUGCGGAAAACGACGUUUAGUAAUCAGAUCCUGUAGAAAGAGGCAGACCUCCCAGUGCAGGGCACACUGUGAGAUGGGGAGACGUGCGCUGCCUACAGAGAAUUAGACCCAACCUGCCCCUCUGCUUUAGGGCCAUCACCAGAAUCAUCUGAAGCGGAGCGGGAGCUGGGGAUCAGAACCCACCAUGGGUUGCUACGCAGUGUGUGCUAUUGCCCCCCCUUCAGUCAUUCUCAAUGCUUCAUUUUGCCAUAUUCCUAAAGUUCUGAGCUUGGAGAAUUCUAAGGCAAUAUUAGAGUCUUCUAGAAAAAUAAAGAUAUGCAUUGUCUUUUACUUCUUUCCCAUCGUUCCUGCCACACAUUACAAUAGCUCUUUAUUUAAGGGGGCAUCUAAUUUGGUGGAAAGAGCAUUUCACUUGCUGUUUUAUGUGGGACAAGGCUUCCUGUGCUUUAUUUCGUUAUCUGCAGUGCCAGUUUUUAUGGUUCUGCGGUAAAUUUACUGGCGGGGAGUGGGUAUGGGGUGGAACAGAAUAACAUGGGGUCUAGAGUGCCUAGAUGGCAGGCAGAUAGUUCGGCCAGAAAAAUAGCAAGGCCAAAAACAAAUUGUACCUUUGAGAGCCUGAAAGAGCGUGAGCUGAGUCCCCGACUGUAAUUUUAACUGUGUUGAUUGUGAGGGCAGGUGUUUGCUCUCUGAUAAUGAGUAGACUUUAAUCCUAGGUGUGAGUACAAAUCAUGUCAACAAGGGUGGCUCCGGAGAAAUUCAAAGUAAUUGCCCAAGACAUAACAUCAGCCCACAACCAAAUUCUCACACUGAAGAAUUAUGCUACUGGUGAGUAGGAAUGGCAGUCCUGAUACAGCUCAUUAGAUAACAGAAAAGGCGCUGAUUCUUCCAAGUCAACAAAUAUCUUCUGAUGCUUCAGGAGCCAGCUGAGCAAGCUAUUCCAGCCAUGGAGAGGCGUGGCUCUGGUGGUGACACGCGGUGUGGUGACACAUGGUGAACACCCAAACUCGGUCAUGCUGAUUAGUUGCGUAAUGGAUGGAUGAGUCAAAGAUCACGCUUUCUAGUUUGUCAGCUACCUGGUAGCUCCCAGGAACUUGCUCUGGUCUGUCAGUGGCUACGUGCAAGCAAUGCUGGGGCUCCUUAUGAGCCCACGGAGUCAUCAUCAGGACCUGAGUUUCAGGGGAGCAGGUAAAGAGGCAAGAUAAAAGGACUCCUGACACCCACCCUUUAAUCCAAAGAGGGAGAUUCUGUCAGGGACUGUGUUUCCGUGAGCAUCUUCAAUUUCUUCAGGGCAUAGUGAAUUUAUGACAGCCCAAGGGAAGGAGCAAAGUAAGAGUCUGAUCUAGCAAAGUCAGCUCUGGCAAGGUAGGAAACCUUACCUACAAGACACGGCUGCCACUAGCCAGUCAAUAGCACCCACAGCUGUGGUUCCAUGUUUUCUCCAGUGAGCUUCCUCCCACAAGUCCUCUGACUAUAAUAUUGGUGUCAACUGGUCACACAGCUAACCAGUAGUCCUGGAGUGGGUGGAGGGUUAGCUUUCCUCCCAAAUCAGCACAACCGAGGAGUAAUCAAGGAGUAAUAUACUCCCAGGUUUAAAUCCUAGCUAAGCUACUUAAUAAUUGGAUGACCAUGGACAGAUAAUUAAUCUCUGAGUCUCGGUUUCCUCAUCAGUAAAUUAAGGAUAAUAAUAUUGACUUUGUAGGGUUGUUUUGAAGACUGAAUUAAAUCCGGUGUAUAAAACACCUAACACAAUGCCUAGCACAGGUGGAAGCUCCAUAAAUAGUUCUCGUCUCUGGGAUUAGUGAACCUCAGAAUCGGAAAUAUGUUACAGGUCAUCCAAUAAAAUCUUCCUUCUGCUUUUCUGUUGCCGGAAUCCUCUCCUCCACCCCUAAGAUAUGUGACUAUCCAGCCUAUGCUUUGAAUCUGUCCAAGGCAAGAGAAAAUCCUCUUCAGGAGUUCUGAGGUUCUUGCUGAAAUUGAGCUGAAACACAACUCCCGGGGGCUUCUACUAUUUGAAA
ensembl:lncRNA